rnacentral:rRNA from 1 species
AAGCACAACACUUGAUUCAUAAUUGGCAGGUGCCGAUUUGGGUUAAGUGUUUUUCUUAGCAUUGUAUGACGGCGAAGGCCGGGUAACAGUUUAUAGCAUUAGUAUAUAGUACAAGUACUUUGGCACUUUGUGUUUUUCAAAGUCAAAGUCCAAAGUGUUGUCAGCGUAAAGUCCUUAGGAAGUCCUUAGGGAUUAUGUUGAUGUCGGGAAGCUUCGGCCGGGUAACUAUGUAGUUUGUAGUUUGCUCAAUAUAUUUUCGGAGACGGACCGACUUUACACACUUAAGACUACAAAGUUGGGCCAUGAAGCCAUGGACUUUUUCAUUGCUCAGGGACUUAGCCAAGGACUUAGCUAUAGACCUGCCAGUGGUUGUCAGUGGUAUUUCUGAGGUCGCAAGAGACGAAUCACGUGACAAUUGAUGGUAAUUGGCAAAUGUCAAGGUCAGGACAUUGGCUUGGAUAUGGGGCAUCGAGCCUUGGACAUAAUUUGGCUAAGGGAGAAGUCACGUGACCGAUGGUGAACGACACUAUAUCCAGAGAGAGGAUAGGGUGGAGGAAGAAGAUAUUGGAGGACGAGGAUUUGGGAAACCAUGGGCAGGAAAAGGGAAUUAGAGAGGAGUAUAUAAAUGGCGGAGAUGAGGGGAUUGAUUGAGGUUGUCAGUGCACAUAAAAAAGUCGUGAAAAGUAUUGGGAGGACUAGGGUAGGAGAUGGGGGACUAAAUGUGCGUGUGUGCGCAGUAGGGGACCAAAUACUCUUGAAAUCAAGCAGAUUCGAGCCGUGUUUGAAUAAACGGUGAAAUUAAAUUGAUUUUCAACGUUAUGUUAGACAUUGUGACCGGUCCGGCGAAAAAGAAAAAGAGAUAACUUACCAAGAACUGAAAAGAUCCUUCAUGAGAAAAGAACAACAACUCAGGUAAAAGCAGCUGAGAAAGGUCUACGGGCCGAGUAAAAGUAUGCCUACUCCAUGCAGAGAUUGUGGUUUGCGAUUCAGCUUGUAAUGUCUUCGGGCAUUGCAGCUGUCUCGGGGGCCAUGACUCGGUGGGACGAGGUGUUUAUCCGUCUUUUCUCAGUCUCAGUAGCCAAAUUGUUAACUGGCAAGGGUUAGGCGCCGAACAUCAGAAUCGGUGCCGCCUCAACAGUUAGCAAUAUGGGUCGUAAGACCCGAAGAGUCCUGGCGCGACAUUGUGUCGUCGUCUAGGCAAGGUUGGAUUUUGUGGAUUACUAGCCGAUGGCAAGAAUUUACAAUAAACCAAUCGGGAGUAUCCCAGGGAAGGUAGCCGGCCGCAUUUGUUUGUGACUGUGACUUUUCCAUGGCGACUCCCUCUCAAGUCGACGAUGUUAAACCUUUGAAUUGAAUUUUUCAAAGUGUUUGACAGAAAUCGAUUAGAGGAACUCAAAAAAGGCAAACGGAUGCAGUUUCUGAGGGCGUCAGUAAAAUGACAAACUUGAGAAUCUGCCUAUCAACAUGACAUUUUGUUGUGAUUGAUGGAAACUUUGAAAACUUCCCUCUCCUUCGGGAGAGUUUAGACUUACAAUCUGCUUCGGCAGUUUGUAAGUUUAAGGAUAGUUAUCUGGUUGAUCCUGCCAGU